CUCCGGAUCUGCGGUGGGUACGGGCAGACUUGAGUGAUGUAGGGGAGACUGGAAUUCCUGGUGUAGCGGUGAAAUGCGCAGAUAUCAGGAGGAACACCGAUGGCGAAGGCAGGUCUCUGGGCAUUAACUGACGCUGAGGAGCGAAAGCAUGGGGAGCGAACAGGAUUAGAUACCCUGGUAGUCCAUGCCGUAAACGUUGGGCACUAGGUGUGGGGGACAUUCCACGUUUUCCGCGCCGUAGCUAACGCAUUAAGUGCCCCGCCUGGGGAGUACGGCCGCAAGGCUAAAACUCAAAGGAAUUGACGGGGGCCCGCACAAGCGGCGGAGCAUGCGGAUUAAUUCGAUGCAACGCGAAGAACCUUACCAAGGCUUGACAUGAACCGGAACGGCGCAGAGAUGUGUCGGCCACUUGUGGCCGGUUUACAGGUGGUGCAUGGUUGUCGUCAGCUCGUGUCGUGAGAUGUUGGGUUAAGUCCCGCAACGAGCGCAACCCUCGUUCCAUGUUGCCAGCGGGUUAUGCCGGGGACUCAUGGGAGACUGCCGGGGUCAACUCGGAGGAAGGUGGGGACGACGUCAAAUCAUCAUGCCCCUUAUGUCUUGGGCUUCACGCAUGCUACAAUGGCCGGUACAAAGGGUUGCGAUG
rnacentral:rRNA from 1 species